AGAGAUGAUGACCCAUUCCUGAAGUUGGACGCCAGAAUGGAGGAAGGUGCUGUUUAAGAGCCUAGGCGGUGGAAGAAGCACUUGCAGGUAUGCUACUAACCAGGCUCCUCAACAUCAAUCCGAGACGGAAGAUGAACCGGGAUGAAGCGGUUAGAUUGAGACAAGGCGGCCGGAAACUUUGAUGACCUCAAUGACACUGGCUAGGUGAAGGACAUCAAGAAAAUGGCAUCCGGUCACCAGACAUCAGCUCAUAAGCCACAACGUCAUCAACCAUUUUGCGCCAAAAAUGAAGCCGUUCACAUACCAUGGCAUCCUAAGCAGGUAAUUUCA